CCGCAGAAGAUAUAUAAUCCUGUAUGCAAAUUUAAAGCAUUUAAAUAAUUAACAAGCCUUAGUCGGUAAAGCCUAACCAGGCUGCAAUUUUUACCGCGUCAAUUCCAGCUCACUAAUCAAUAAAAGCAAAAAUAUAAGUUAAUUAGGAGAAAAAGCCUUAGCGGUGUGCGUGUGAGGCAAAGCCCUAAACCAUUUCAUAAUAUGUAUAUAUACACGCUUAUAUCUUCGUUUCCAAAAUCAUUCUCAAAACAAAAAAAACAUAAUAUACAUCUAUGCUUAGCAUAUCAUGAGCAAUAUCCCCACAUCUCUCACCGACUCAUCUCUUUCUAUCUUUCUCCUCACUAUCUCUUCUGCCGUCGAUCCUUGGCCCUUUUCUAUCUCCGUCUUCUAACAUCAACCUCUGCCUUUUCAUCGUCCUUCAGCGUUUCAUUCAAUCAGUAAGAAAGACUUUAUCUUUUUAAUGGGUUUUGAAGAUCAAGAAGAGCAGAAACAGAGUCCAAAACAGAGUCAGAGCCAGAUGGUGUUCAAGUUUCACUUUUAUGUUCCCCAUCUCCACAUACACCAUCAUCAUAACCACCAUCAUGUUCCGAAAGGCUGUGUCGCGAUCAUGGUGGGACACGAAGGAGAUGAAGAAGGUCUACACAGAUUCGUGGUUCCGUUGAUGUUCUUGAGCCAUCCUCUGUUUUUGAGUCUCUUGAAAGAAGCUGAAGAAAAGUACGGAUUCAAACACGCGGGCCCGAUUACGAUUCCCUGCCGCGUCGAUGAGUUUAAGCAUGUUCAGGAGAUUAUCGACGAGGAGACUCAUCGUCGUCACAGUCACGGACACAACUACCACCACCACCACAACCAUCUGCCAUGUUUCUGAAGACCUGUUGGUUUGGUUUGGUUUGAUUUGACAUAUAAUUGGGUAUAUUGGUUUGGUUUGACUUUCCUUUUGAGAUUGUUUUAGUUAUUGCAUAAUUUUCGUUUGUAGUUAGUGAUGAUGAUGAAAAACAGCGAGUAGUUGAAUGCGAAUGCGAAUGCUUCUCAGCUAUUACGAUGAAAUCGUGAGGAGUACGAAAUUUCAGUUUGUGGUUGUGGGAUAAUGUAUUUAUUUGUUUUUUUUUUCAAGAAAAGGAAUGUAAAAUUUCUUUUAUUUUUAAUUGAUUUUUACGCGUUCGGCCGUUGGGCGUGUUACUAUUACAUCCACAAUGCCAAGUGUCCGGAAUAUAUUGAGAAAAUUAUUCUCAAAGACACAAUUGUGAGUUUUCAAUUACACAACGACGUACUUUCUGCCUUAGACACACAUUUUCUAGGUGUAAUGUCAUAAUUGACCCUGAGCUUGCGUAACUAAAUAGAAGAGACUCGUUUGAAUAAAAUAGGUUGUGUUUUAGCAUAUUUUUUCAAUCAUUAUAAUUCUUAUCUAUAAAUGAAUGGCGAAGAAAAUUUGAAUAUUUCUUUUAUUUUAUUAUCUUUAUCUUCAAACGAAAUUCAUUCAUUGCUUUCUUUCUACUUUUUUUUUUUUGUUCUUAUUUUCUUUCGACUCUGUUUCGUGAGGUUUAUUUUCUCUGACACCACCAUAGCUGCUGCAACUCUUUUACUUUUUUUCAUUACCACUCACUCCACAUCGAUUGUCAUUGUCGUCUUCGCAACAUCACCUUCACCGUCGAAACAUCAGCAUCCUUUCACCACCAUUGAUGUCUCCACAUCACUAUGAAAGAGACUCGGUCUGUGGAGGUCGUGGUGGAGGUGACAGUGGAUAUCGCAAUGGAGGUGACGGUGUUUACGGAGAAAGCGGUGGUGGAAAACAUGAAGGUGUAUAUAGUGGUGGAUGUGGCUACUCGAGAGAAGGAGGUGGUGGUGGAUGUGGUGGAGGUGGAAGACAUGAGGUUGGGUAUACGGAGAUGGAGGUUGUGGAUACAAGUCAUGUUAUUCUUUUGAAUUAAAAAAAUGUGUUCUGGUAUUAUCAUUGUCCCAAACUAAUCUUAUAUCCAUAAUAAGACAUCCACAACCGCAGAUAAAACACUGUUUACAAACAUUACACAUAUGGUCAAGUUACUCUAUUUUACACAUAUGGUCCUUCCAUUUUCUGGAUUUUUGCAAUUUGACCCCAACAUUAUUCAAUUUGCUUAUAGAUCCUCUUGAUUUCGUCGCAAACUUUUAAUGAUGUACUUUAAUCCGUAAUAAUAAUUUUCUUAUCAACUCAUAUCCAUACUUUUUAUGUCCAUUAUAAAUUAUUUAAUAAAAUAAAAUUUUAUAAAAUAUCAAAAAUAUAUAUAUGGAUACAAAUAUAUUUUGUCCACAUAAACUUUUCCACAAAACAAUUAUAACAAUUUCGUGUCUACAGGAGCUUGUUCACAUAAGAUGUGUCCACUGAAUUAUGUCCACAAAAAAGUUUAAUCCAUUUCUCACUUUCAAAACGUCACAAUACGUUCUCUAGAUAGAUUAUCUUCAAACAAAUAACACAAACCCUAGAUAGAUUAAACUUCAAACAAGAGCUUCGUCUACAAUAAAAUGUUAACAAUCAUAAUUACACAAUUAUAAUUGUAUGAGCUUGUCCAUAAGAACACGUCCAGCACAAACUUGUUUAUAACAUAUUCACGUGACUCUUGUCCACAACAUAUAUAUCCACCAGAAAACUGUCCACAAUGUUAACACUCGUCCACAAUUCACAUGUCCACAUAAAACUCGUCCAUAUAUAUAGACGUAUCCAUAAAAACAUGUCACAAAAACCUGUCUCCAAUCCCUUCUCCAACUUCUUUAUUUUAUUCAUGAUUGAUAAAAGAGAGAGACUUCAAGUAUAAGAACAUAUUUGUUGUCCUUUUAUUGAUAGAAAACUAUAAUUUGAGGAUUGUGAAGUAGAACUAGGCAAAUAAAAUUUAUCGGGGGUAUAAACUGCACAACUGAAAGUUUGGUAUUAAUUUAAGAGGACAUUUCUGCAAAAUAAAAAAUCCGGGCCCAAUCGAAAGAAAUCAAAAAGUGAAGGACCAGAUCUGAAAAUAAUUGAAAAUCCACCAUUGUUGCUCGAUCUCUUAUGUGACGAGACAGAGGCGGCGAUGAUGAGCACGACGAGGCUUGAAUACGAGCAUUACACCGUCGGUAGAGCAAGACGACGGAGAUGGUCUGGUGGCCCGGGACAGACGCGACGAGCUGCCGCGGAGAAGAGAGAGCACGAGACAGGUGAAUCAUGGAGGAUAUGAAGCAUACGCGACAGUGGAGGAUUGCAGUGGAUAACUGUUGGUUGGAGUACAGUGACUGGUAAUUGUAAUGGGAGAGAAGUCGCCAAGCUUGGUUUCCACGAGUUGCAGUCGAAGGUGAGAGGACCCACAAAGAAGAUGAAUCCAGUGAAGCUCGCGACAAGACAUAAGGUGUUCCAGUUUGGAAAAAAUUAAUAGCCCAACUAUUUUCCUAACUUAACUAAUAAGAAGAAAGUAACUAGUUCUUUCUUUUGCUAACUACACGUGAAGCUAAAGGGCAUAAUGGUCAAAAAAGAUCUUGGUUUCAUGAAUUGUGUGCUUCAAGCACAAUAUGUACUUUUGUGAAAGGAAAAAGACAAAUGUGUCUUUUAUGGUAACUCACUCGAAUAUAUUCUGUUGUUUAUCUGAAAAGUGAAAAAUUCAACAAUAUCUUCGAUUUACCGGAAAGCAUUCUAUCAUGACUUUGAUUUGAGAUCUUCACAAACUAUAUCGACCAUAAUUAGUCUAUUUUUAAUGGGACAUCCGGUGAUCGAAAUUAAGCUAGGCGUAAGUUAGACAGUCGGUAUAGAUUUAGUUUUUUUUAUUGUCAGCACUAUAACCAGACACAUAUACGCUCUGGAAACCAAACUGGUAACUCCGCAUCCAUAUGCACGACAAACAAACGACGGUUGAUUUCUUGCACUGCGUGUGAAACAAUCCAUUUUUGAAUUCUGCAUCUGUGGUAUAUAAAUAAGAUUUGAGCUGUUGAAACUUCUAUUCAAGAACUUUACGUCUUCCAAAUAAUUUGCAAAGGCUGGCCAUUCUUAUGAUUCUGAAACCAUCUUUAACAACUGAGAACAAUCCGUUGCAAGUGUAACAGAAAAUUGUCUAAGACUUCUCAUGCAUUCCAUUGCCCAAAUGAGAGCCUCUAUAUCCGAAUGAAGUGGCGACUGACUCACUCUUGUAUUCCUCGCUCUCAUUAGACCAUCAAAGUCCUCCAGUGUGCUAUACAACCCUUGGUCCGAAUAGAUUUCCUCAUUUUUCCAAGAUCUAUCCGUAAAGUAUCAUCUACGUGGGAUAUUCAGUAUUAUCGCUGCGACUGGUAAUCUAGUAUGAUCUAUUUCCCGUGUAAGAAAAAUUUGUGUCUCAACCCAAAGUAACGACUCCGUAUCUGCCUAUCUGAGAGUAUCUCAAAUAUCAAUAUCCAAAUUGAUAAAAAAAAAAAAUUUCUUUCCAUAUGUACCAUAAGAUAAAUGCAAUGGUCUACCAAUUUCGGAGAAACCCUCCAAAGAAAUGACCCAUGUUUGCAAAAAGUGAUUACGUGAGAAAAAUAUAUGGAUUCAUUGGAAUUCGUGAAAGUUCGCAUACCUGGAAUGUUGAAUCCGUUUAUGUUGAUGAAAGAAAAAAAAACUGAUUAAUGUGGAAUACACAUAUUCUCGAACUGAAUAACGGAUCAUAUAAUCUAACACGUUAGGCAUAUUUCAAUUUUAUAUAUAGGCUUGUGAUUUCUUUUUAUAAGUUUAUAUCCCAUUUGACUUCUCAAAUCAUACAAAGUCAAAAUAUAUAAUAUAAAAAUUACCAAAAGGAUUACGUAAUAAUAAGUACAUUAAAAAUACUAAUCUCAUGCAGCUGUUGGAAAGACGGAAACAAACAUAAAUAUAGCGUAGUUAUCUAAAACGUUACGACUAUUUAUCUCUACAAUUUGGGCCGGCUUAACAUUGCUAUAUGUCGUAGGACAAAAAAUUUUUUUUUUUACCCUCUAAGAUUUAUAUUCAGAUAAUAUUUAACAUAUUUUUAAAAUUUAAUCAGUAAUAUUUUGUUUAUUUUGUGAUGAAAACAAAACUAUAUGCAUAUUAAAUAUUUUUGGCCCUUUACAAUUUUAUUUAUUAUAUUUAUAAUUUUUUAUAUAAAAAUAUAGACUUUUUAAAAAAAUUAAACCCUUAACUAUUAAUAUACGGGAGGACACGGGCUUGGACCCGGGGCAGUUGAAGAAGCCCCCCCCCUCCUCAGCCGGCCCAGUCUACGAUUAGCGGAAUGAGGUAUUAUAAGUUUGACCAAUUUAAUCGUGUUCAUCCAUUUAUCUAUAAUCACGGUGGCCAUACAUUAGGAAGGGACGGGCCAAGCCAACGGCUGGUGAAAUACACAUUUCUGUAAGGGCAAAUCUCCAAAAUAGCAUUUUUCUAAGUUUAUAUCACAAAAAUAACAUUCAAAAACUAAAAUGACCAAAAUAGCACCUUUCUAAGUUUAUCCUUUGAAAAUUUUAAAUUUUUUAUUUUUCAAAAUUUGAAAUCUUAUCCCCAAAACCUCAUUUCUCACCUCUAAACCCUAAACCUUAAACUCUAAACUCUAAACCCUAAACCCUAAACUGUAAACCCUAAACCCUAAACUCUAAACCCUAAACCCUAAAUCAUAAACUCCACCCUUUAACUAUAAACCCUAAGUUUAUGACUUUUGAUAAAACAUUAAGUGCUAUUUUUGUGACUUUUGACCUUGAAUGCUAGUUUGGGAAUAAAAACUUGAUUUAGUGCUAUUUUUGUCUUUUUAUCUUUCUUUAAUGUCAUUUGGAUUCUUUUAUUUAUAUCAAAACUUCGAGGAAAAUCCCACAAAUACAUUUUAUUCAUUUAUUUAACCAAUUCAUUGGCUUUUUGAAGCGUCAACUAGGGCUUUGAUUAUUACGUUUUUGUCUUAUCUUAGAAGGUAACACUGUAAAAAUCUUACCCCCACCCUGAUGUUAUUAUUUUUAUUUUUUUUGAAAAGACCACCCUGAUGUUAUUGCUACAACGAUAAAGUAAAAUUUGAGGUCGCGGUGGGACUACUGCUGUCUAUCCUGACGAAUACCUUUGAUAAUUAUAUAAUUUUGCACGAUAGGUUACAUAUUUAUCUGUAAACUACUUCAACUUUUUUAAAGGUAUUACAUUUUUUGUCAACAAUAUCCGUGGAUGUCGGUUAUAAUAUCUGUUUUAAUCAGUUUUAAGGAAAAUAAGCCAUACAAAUACAUCAUUGAAUUUUGGAUAAUUUGGUUGACAAGAGAUCAAACAAGAACAUUUUUUACAUAACUGAUAGUACUAUACAAGAUAACAUAUACCAUCAAUAUAUACAUCAUAAUUCUUUUAGUAAGCUAAUUAUGCCGCUGCAAAAGGACUAAUUAUGUUAUUUGAUGAAAAUAAUUAUAUGUGUAAAUUUAAUAUCUACAACCUAAUUAUUUACAUUAAGAAUAUAGUUAUAAGGAUCAAUUAGACAAGUUUUUUUCUUUUUUUUUCCAGUUAGACACGCUUAAAUCAUUAAAAGAUCAUAUAGAUGUAAAAAAAGAUUUCUAAUAUAAUACUCAUAAAAAAUAUAUUUUAACUCAUAUUCCCUGCGUUUCAUAUAAAGUAUCGUUGAAAAGAAAAAAUUUCGUUACAAAAUAAAUGUCAUUUUAGUAUUUCAAUGUAGAAUUUAUUAACUUUAUUUUCUAGUUUAUUUUCUUAUUGGUUGAAAUAUUAUUAUGUGUAUGGAUAAUGAUGUUUUUAUAUAAAAAAUAUACCAAAAUUAUAUGUGUGUGCACAGAUCUAAAAUGAUACUGAAUACGAAACAGAGGGAACAUACCUUAUAAAAAAACUAAAAUGAGAUAAAUUUGUUUGUAAACGCUCUAAAACGCAUAUAUAGCAUAUAUAUGUAUCAGGAUAAUAACCGAUAAAACAGUAAAAGUAUUAUCUUGUCCCGCAGAAGAUAUAUAAUCCUGUAUGCAAAUUUAAAGCAUUUAAAUAAUUAACAAGCCUUAGUCGGUAAAGCCUAACCAGGCUGCAAUUUUUACCGCGUCAAUUCCAGCUCACUAAUCAAUAAAAGCAAAAAUAUAAGUUAAUUAGGAGAAAAAGCCUUAGCGGUGUGCGUGUGAGGCAAAGCCCUAAACCAUUUCAUAAUAUGUAUAUAUACACGCUUAUAUCUUCGUUUCCAAAAUCAUUCUCAAAACAAAAAAAACAUAAUAUACAUCUAUGCUUAGCAUAUCAUGAGCAAUAUCCCCACAUCUCUCACCGACUCAUCUCUUUCUAUCUUUCUCCUCACUAUCUCUUCUGCCGUCGAUCCUUGGCCCUUUUCUAUCUCCGUCUUCUAACAUCAACCUCUGCCUUUUCAUCGUCCUUCAGCGUUUCAUUCAAUCAGUAAGAAAGACUUUAUCUUUUUAAUGGGUUUUGAAGAUCAAGAAGAGCAGAAACAGAGUCCAAAACAGAGUCAGAGCCAGAUGGUGUUCAAGUUUCACUUUUAUGUUCCCCAUCUCCACAUACACCAUCAU
rnacentral:lncRNA from 1 species